rnacentral:rRNA from 21 species
CCUGGCGGCCGUAGCGCGGUGGUCCCACCUGACCCCAUGCCGAACUCAGAAGUGAAACGCCGUAGCGCCGAUGGUAGUGUGGGGUCUCCCCAUGCGAGAGUAGGGAACUGCCAG